CCUACGGGAGGCAGCAGUGAGGAAUAUUGGUCAAUGGGCGCAAGCCUGAACCAGCCAAGUCGCGUGAAGGAUGACUGCCCUACGGGUUGUAAACUUCUUUUAUAAAGGAGUAAAGUGAGGCACGUGUGCCUUUUUGUAUGUACUUUAUGAAUAAGGAUCGGCUAACUCCGUGCCAGCAGCCGCGGUAAUACGGAGGAACCGAGCGUUAUCCGGAUUUAUUGGGUUUAAAGGGGGCGUAGAUGGGUUGUUAAGUCAGUUGUUAAAGUUUGCGGCUCAACCGUAAAAUUGCAAUUGAUACUGGCAGUCUUGAGUACAGUUGAGGUAUGCGGAAUUCGUGGUGUAGCGGUGAAAUGCUUAGAUAUCACGAAGAACUCCGAUUGCGAAGGCAGCUUACCAAACUGCAACUGACACUGAGGCUCGAAAGUGUGGGUAUCAAACAGGAUUAGAUACCCCAGUAGUC
rnacentral:rRNA from 1 species